rnacentral:rRNA from 1 species
GAUGAACGCUGGCGGCGUGCCUAAUACAUGCAAGUCGAGCGAACGGACGAGAAGCUUGCUUCUCAGAUGUUAGCGGCGGACGGGUGAGUAACACGUGGAUAACCUACCUAUAAGACUGGGAUAACUUCGGGAAACCGGAGCUAAUACCGGAUAAUAUUUUGAACCGCAUGGUUCAAAAGUAAAAGACGGUCUUGCUGUCACUUAUAGAUGGAUCCGCGCUGCAUUAGCUAGUUGGUAAGGUAACGGCUUACCAAGGCAACGAUGCAUAGCCGACCUGAGAGGGUGAUCGGCCACACUGGAACUGAGACACGGUCCAGACUCCUACGGGAGGCAGCAGUAGGGAAUCUUCCGCAAUGGGCGAAAGCCUGACGGAGCAACGCCGCGUGAGUGAUGAAGGUCUUCGGAUCGUAAAACUCUGUUAUUAGGGAAGAACAUAUGUGUAAGUAACUGUGCACAUCUUGACGGUACCUAAUCAGAAAGCCACGGCUAACUACGU